AUGGCCAUUGAAUCACGCCAGUCAUCUUCAUCUCAAGCAACUACUCCCGCAUGCACCCCCAUCUCAAGCAACUACUCCCGCAUGCACCCCGCAUUGCCAAAAGGAAAAAAAAACACCACGCUGCCACGCUCUGCAGCGCCAACACCGGGCGCGCCGGCGGUCCUCCAUCGCAGCUCCGGCCAUGCUCCAUUGCAGCAGCGACAUCGGCACGAGGUGCUCCAACGCAGCACCGGCGGCCCGUCACAGCUCCGGCCAUGCUCCAUUACAGCAGCGACACCGGCACGAGGUGCUCCAACGCAGCGUGGACAGCCCGUCGCAGCUCCGGUGAUGCUUCAUUGCAGCCACGAUACCAGCGCGGGGUGCUCCAUCGCAGCUCCGACGGCCCGUCGCAGCUACGACAACGCUGCAUAG
rnacentral:rRNA from 1 species